rnacentral:tRNA from 1 species
GCUCCCAUGGCGUAGUGGUCACUGCGCUCGCCUUGCACGCGGGAGACCCGGGUUCGAUUCCCGGCGGGGUGCU